GGAAUAUUGCACAAUGGGCGGAAGCCUGAUGCAGCAACGCCGCGUGCGGGAUGACGGCCUUCGGGUUGUAAACCGCUUUCGCCUGUGACGAAGCGUGAGUGACGGUAAUGGGUAAAGAAGCACCGGCUAACUACGUGCCAGCAGCCGCGGUGAUACGUAGGGUGCGAGCGUUGUCCGGAUUUAUUGGGCGUAAAGGGCUCGUAGGUGGUUGAUCGCGUCGGAAGUGUAAUCUUGGGGCUUAACCCUGAGCGUGCUUUCGAUACGGGUUGACUUGAGGAAGGUAGGGGAGAAUGGAAUUCCUGGUGGAGCGGUGGAAUGCGCAGAUAUCAGGAGGAACACCAGUGGCGAAGGCGGUUCUCUGGGCCUUUCCUGACGCUGAGGAGCGAAAGCGUGGGGAGCGAACA
rnacentral:rRNA from 1 species